AAGACUAUAUUUUUAGUGGUCAUUUUUAUAGUUUGUUAAAGAGAAGUUUCUCUGAUCAUACAGAGCACCAAAACCAUGAAAAGGACUCAGAGUAUUCUCUCCUGAGCAUGAAGCCGGAUCUAGGUGUUGACCGCUGAUGAUCAUGUUUCUGUUCUUUUGGAAGAGUGAUAGGGAGAGGAUAUAGUCUCAGUGG
rnacentral:snoRNA from 1 species